rnacentral:tRNA from 1 species
GCCCGCUUGGCGGAACGGUAGACGCAACAGUCUUUAAAACUGAAGUCCUUGCGGGACAUACGGGUUCGAGUCCCGUAGCGGGCA